CCAUCAGCUUAAAAUGCUGCCCCUCAGGGCAUUGAAGAGGAAAUGAAGAAGAUUUUCAGGAAGAAAAAAACCACAAUGGGUCAGAUGUGUACGACUCUUGAGACCAGGAAUUGAAACUAGAAGAAGCCCUAAAAUGCAAGUAGGAAAUCCAAAGGAGGGAAGCAAGUCUGAUAGCAGUUAAUCGACAAUGAGAGGCAGUAAAUGGCAACCAACAUUCAAUGUCAAGGACAGCUUUAAAAAGUGGUGGGAAUGAUGGCUCAAUAGAUAGAGAAAGGUCACCUGAUGACCUUGACCACUCCAUCCAGGGGGUCCGAUAUUACGAGGUCCUCUCUUUUCUCAGAGGAAGACAGAACUCUUUGUAUGGAAUCUCCUGAAUUUCAAUUGUUGCCAACUAAUUAUUUUUUAACUUUAACACUGAGGAGAAAAAACAAGUACAUCCGUAUGCUAAGUGCAGCUUGGGAGCUGUGAGUUUCGCUCUUGCGGUCAUAUUUAGGAUACUUGGCUUACUUACCUCUACAUGUGUGUACAAAACUAUUAGAGAACACAGCCCUGAAUUUGACAAUAAGAGGACACAGGUUUGUUUAAGCCUCAGCUUUGGAUGGUAUUGGUCACAUGCCCUUGGCCAACCCCAUUGUUCAUCUAAGCAUCUGCCUCCUCCUGUAUGUAAUAAGCAGUUACUUGUGUGUUACACUCAGGAAGACUUAAAAACCCCCUUUGCCCACACCCCCAACCUCGACAAUGCCAGGGAGCACCAAAUACACCUCUUCAGAAACAUGGAACCAUAGUAAGGAGGAGGUUGUAAUGACUUUUACUCACUCUUAGUCUCCAAACCUAUUUUACUUUUUUUUUUUUUUUUUUUUUUUUUUUUUUUAGGAAUGUCUACUUUUUUUGUAUGUGAGACAAAAAAAAAAAAAAGGCAUGCGUUAAAUAUUUUGGUUGUGUUCUUUCCAAGUAUCUGGAAUCAACAUCAGUGUAAACUUUGUAAGUUCAAAAUUUUCUCAUCAGUCGUGUCUUUAUGCUUGAGUCCUAGCAAGAAAUGCCUUUAUUUUUGUUUUUUAAUCCUAUUUUACCAAGACUACACUUACUGGAUUAAAGAUAUUAAUAAUAUUUCUAAAAAUAAUAAUUCAUGCCAAAGCCUUGAGCUGGGACUCCGAACACAUUGCCCUUACAAGGCUUCCCACGAAUUAUGGCAGGAUUUAUGAAUUUAGACUUAAUAUAAAUUUGAAUUGCUUCUUCAAAGAAAGCGCAUCGCUAUUAUUUUUCACUGUUGGUUUUUACACAAAGCAAGUUCCUGGUCACAAGACGGUACGAUAAAUAUUUAAAAAUUUGAAUAUCUGACUUUGAGGCUAAUACGGACUUCAGGUCUCAUUUUGAAUAUUAUCACCAAUGAACAUUCUAAUGUGCUAGCAUUGUUGAUCAUCAUGGUCAUAAUUUUGUUGAGGAUUCCUAAAACUGUGGUUAUUGACAUCUGAGUCUUAAUUUUCCCCUUUAAUUUAACUGUUUUUUCAAGUAGGAAAUCCCAAGUAAAACAAUUUUUAGAAAUAUGGUCAGAAUUUUUUCUGCCUCCCGUCUUACAGCUUUUCCUAAACAGUCUUCUGCUGUAGUGCCUCAAUUGUUUUUACUGUAAUUGUUUCAUUUGAUUUGAUGGGUAUGCACAUAAUUACAUUAUUCAUUCAUCCACAAGUACCUGGCAUUUGUUCACACUUCUACUUUUCCCCUGUUUGUUUGGCACAUGUGAGGCUUUCCGUGUUUGAAAAUACAUUGCGUGAGAGAUGUGUGUGAAAGGUAUUUCAUUAAAGUAACUUGUUUAGUUU